rnacentral:rRNA from 1 species
ACAAAUGAAUCAAAACUUUCAACAACGGAUCUCUUGGUUCUGGCAUCGAUGAAGAACGCAGCGAAAUGCGAUAAGUAAUGUGAAUUGCAGAAUUCAGUGAAUCAUCGAAUCUUUGAACGCACAUUGCGCCCGCCAGCAUUCUGGCGGGCAUGCCUGUUCGAGCGUCAUUUCAACCCU